CAUUGGUAUAGGUGAGUUGUUUAAUAGUUGUUGCAUUGGGAUAAAUGCAUGUUUUGGAUUAAUUCAUAAUCAGUAAUAGCUGGGAAGAAAAGAAACGUGUUGCUACGUGAACCCGGAAAGGCCGGGACGAAUUUUAAAAAAAAAUCUAGAGACGAUCGUUCUGAGUGUGCCACCUACACAUUCAAACGUGUACACAAGCAC
rnacentral:lncRNA from 1 species